UACAGAGGUGGCAAGCGUUGUUCGGAAUUACUGGGCGUAAAGAGCGCGCAGGCGGUCGUUCAAGUCGCGUGUGAAAGCCCCCCGGCUCAACUGGGGAGGGUCACGCGAUACUGAUCGACUCGAAGGCAGGAGAGGGUAGUGGAAUUCCCGGUGUAGUGGUGAAAUGCGUAGAUAUCGGGAGGAACACCAGUGGCGAAGGCGACUACCUGGCCUGUUUCUUGACGCUGAGGCGCGAAAGCUAGGGGAGCAAACGGGG
rnacentral:rRNA from 1 species